GAUGAACGCUGGCGGCGUGCCUAAUACAUGCAAGUCGAGCGAACUGAUUAGAAGCUUGCUUCUAUGACGUUAGCGGCGGACGGGUGAGUAACACGUGGGUAACCUGCCUGUAAGACUGGGAUAACUUCGGGAAACCGAAGCUAAUACCGGAUAGGAUCUUCUCCUUCAUGGGAGAUGAUUGAAAGAUGGUUUCGGCUAUCACUUACAGAUGGGCCCGCGGUGCAUUAGCUAGUUGGUGAGGUAACGGCUCACCAAGGCAACGAUGCAUAGCCGACCUGAGAGGGUGCUCGGCCACACUGGGACGGAGACACGGCCCAGACUCCUACGGGAGGCAGCAUUAGGGAAUCUUCCGCAAUGGACGAAAGUCUGACGGAGCAACGCCGCGUGAGUGAUGAAGGCUUUCGGGUCGUAAAACUCUGUUGUUAGGGAAGAACAAGUACAAGAGUAACUGCUUGUGCCUUGACGGUACCUAACCAGAAAGCCACGGCUAACUACGUGCCAGCCGCCGCCGUAA
rnacentral:rRNA from 1 species